rnacentral:rRNA from 1 species
AAUCCAUAGGUUAAUGAGGCGAACCGGGGGAACUGAAACAUCUAAGUACCCCGAGGAAAAGAAAUCAACCGAGAUUCCCCCAGUAGCGGCGAGCGAACGGGGAGGAGCCCAGAGCCUGAAUCAGCAUGUGUGUUAGUGGAAGCGUCUGGAAAGGCGCGCGAUACAGGGUGACAGCCCCGUACACAAAAGCGCAUGUGCUGUGAGCUCGAUGAGUAGGGCGGGACACGUGGUA